GUCUGCACACUAUAGUGAUUGGUCGUAUCACUCACAGGAGGCGGGAGAUGAGUCAACGAAAUCAAAACAAAUGCACAUUUUCAAGAAAUCUGUUGCCAAAGUCUGGCUAAACGCUAAAAACACGAGUUUUUACACAUACACAGUGUAUGUUUAGUUCUGAAGAAGGCUAAACAGCGUCUUUUAGCUUUAGCUUUUAGCUAAGCUAGCGCGCAGCAUGCUAAACCGUUUAGCUACAACUGCUUUGGGACAGUUGUGCUUCUGUAAAGUUGCUGGGUGGCACCGCGAACCGACGCCGAACUUCAGAACACUGGACCGAGGAUCACACAGGGCCCACGUGGACCCGGAAGGCGAACUGCGCGUUAUUAAACCAAGUGGGGCCGCACAGGACGUUUGUUUCCCGGCUAUUGCUUCCGUCGCCAUUGAAACCUUAAGGAGGAACGGCUGAGGCCAGGCGACACCAGCACUGUUUGUACAUCUGUACAUCCCUCACAUGUCUCGCCCACAGCCCUUCUGGGCUUGUCUCCAUGGUAACCACAGCAGGGAUGGUGUCCUUGGCAGAGAUGGAGGGAUGGAUAGAGAGAGGAGGUACAGACACUUGUUGAAUGGUUAAAAGGAUGCCUUGACAUUCUGAAUUUUAAUCAGCUGUAUAUUAUUUUUUUUCCUCUUUCUGUGUUCAUUGUCCCUGAGGCUCUUCUCCUUGUUUCGUUCAGUGUUUAUGAGUUGCGAGCCAGUGAUGCCAAUGUUUUUUUGUUUUUUUUUUUAUUCUCCAGGGAUACCUUGACAUUUACACUUUCAUUCAGCUAUUUUUCUUUUAAGCCACAGUUCCAAUGGCAAUAACAAUUUCUCUCCAAUUGUAACCCAACAUUAAAAAGCUUUGUUUACGUUCUGCAGUGCAAACCGUUCUUAAGGGUCCAACGACUCAUGACUGAGGAGUGUGUGUGUGUGUGUGUGUGUGUGUGUGUGUGUGUGUGUGUGUGUGUGUGUGUGUGUGUGUGUGUGUGUGUGUGUUGCAGUAUGCAAAAUAUUUCAGAGCUGUACGCUAUGUGCUCUUAAUGGAAGUUUGGAUUGUUGCAAUUAGUUCGCUUUGUUCGAGAUGAAACUGUGGUGAAAUGUUGUCAUGCCCUGUAGGUUGAAUAGCUAAAUGAAACUCACUAGUUCUCUCACUAACAGCAGAAUGUUGUUAAUAAUCUAAAAGCUCUUCUUGCCAUUCCCACAGGCAGACUCAUUCUUUUAAAUCUAAGCUGUAAGGCCGCUUCUUAAGUGCACAUUCUCACAUCAAAGGAAAUUUACCGCACAAAUGACAUUUUAACGUGGUACUGUAUAUUUAACUUUAAUUCUAAAAAACGUCCUUUGGGCCACGUUCCCCAGAAAAUAAAGUGACUCGUGCCCACAGACGCUAGACAGCACAAUUGUGUGAAAAUGAUCCAGUGCAGUCAUAAUGUCUCAUCAACAAGUGUGAAGGCUAAACUUUUUAACGAGCCACAUUUCAGUGUUUUUUUCUUUUCUCUUAUUUAUUCAGUGAAGUGUCUCUCUCCUUAUGUGUCACUAUGUGCUCUGCUUCUGUUUCUGU